AGAUCACAACCUGGACAUAAAGUUACUCAAGAGCCUACACCACUUAUCCCACAAACAGUGACACAUAUUUGAAAUAAAAGGGUACAUAGUACAAAAUGUACAAGAAUUAAAUCAAGAGAUUUCUUGAUGAAUUCAUAAAAUAAUAAGCCGCAUGUCUUUUCACCAUAAUUUAAUCUUCAUUGAUACAUUAAAGCUAAUGCUAGAAUCAUGAGUUCAGUAAUUGAGCAUCCAAAUUACAACAGAGUAUUGAAGCUUAGCCAAAGCAUGAAUAAGGAGCCAUCAAGAGGAUUUUGUCUUUGUUGAACAAUUUUGAGUUGGAGUAGUUGGAACUCCAGAAGCUCCUUUUGUCAAAUCUAAACCAAAACAAAAGAUCACCUUUUAUUAUUACUGUCAACACAUCAUAGCAAAAAGAAAAACACAGAUUUAUCAAUAUGAAGCAAACAUAGGACAAAGAUAGAGAAAAGGGAUCAAUAGAAAGAGAGGCAUUCACACAGAGCAAACAGUGAUGGAAAAAGAGGCAUACACAUAGCGGAGAUUACAACACAAAAAAGCAAGAGAGAGGGGAAAGAGAUAUUUAAUAUACCACAUAAGUCAUAUAUGCUUACAUAGCCUCAAACAGAGAGCGGCACGGGUACAAGAGAACAAGAGAGGAUCAACACACAUAUACAAAAGAGAAGGAACCGAAAAGAAAAAUAACAUUUAAAGAUUAUGCGAGACAGGUAUACUUGCAAGUACCAUGUUCAUCCUAUUCAAGCAUUUAGAAAUAGAAAAAAAACAUCUUAUUCAUCUUGUUUUCAUGAAUAGCAAAUCAUGCAUACAUACCUAUCAAACAUAUCAGUAAGUAUUUUAGCAAAUUAUCAAAAUUCCAUGAUGAGGCAUUCUGAACCAAACCCCUUGCAUACAAUGAAUUAGCAAUAAUGAUGAUUUGGGUUAGUUUAGGCCUCUGGUUUAGCUUGUUAAAAAGUGGCUUACUCGGGAUGACAAAAAAGAACUAGUAGUAAUACCUUAAAAUUGAGAGACAUCAAAAACAUAUCCUAAGCGGAAACAGUAACGUGUUUACACGAACAUAAUAGUGAUUAUUUUAGAUUGGAUUUUCACAAACCUGUUUUUCAUGACCAUUUCACCAAACAGCCAGAGACAAAUUGUUAAAAUAAAAGGCAAUGUCUCGCGUCUUCAUUUUGUUAUUAUCACAUAUUAUCCAUGAUUGCUCUAUAUUCGUAAGUUUAAUAAUUGAGCCUCUGUGAGAAUCCUGCAAUUGAUAACAGUUGCAAAAUAUUAGUGAUGAUUGUUAUGGAGAUUAAAGGCCUACAAUGAUUGAUCCAUCAUCCUUAAUUUAGAUGUUACAAUUAGAGCAAUAAUGAGCCACCAAAAGCAAUCAGGAAUCACUAGAAAGGCAAGUAUCUAAACAUCAGAGCACUUAUAGGAUUAAUCCAAUAGGAACCAGCCGUUGAUUAUAAAAAGGGAUAUCAACAGAUGCAAAUCAGAUUUGGUAUUGUUUCAGUUACUAAAUGGCAGCUUCAAUGCAUUAAAUUAGAAAAUCAACAGGUCAUGGCAUGUUACAUAUUGUGGGUAAGUCAGAAAGUUUUCACAAACCAGCCAAUGACCUACAACCAUCUAUAAAAGGCACAUCACAAUUUUUGCAUAAGGAGACAACAUCAUAGUAUAUACACAUACACAACCAUAAGAAAAUCAGAGAGAGAAGAGGCUAUCAUAUACAGUUAUAAAAAAAGAAAAAGAAAUCAGAAACAGAGAGAAUUCAGGAAGAGAUAAAAAAUGCAGAUUUGAUACAUAAGAAGCAGGCAUAGAGCAUACUGAUAUCAUGUGUAAUACAUAACAUUGAGAGACACCAGAUUACUCAGAGGCAUAACAAAAGUCAGAGAUACAACACAGAGCGUACACUCAGAAUACCAGGAUAACCAUACAAUCAGGUAAGCAUUCUAAUCAUAAAAAUGUCUAUACAUAUCCCGAGCAUCUAAGCACGUAUAUGUAUUCAGUAGACAUAUCCUUUUUUAUUUUAGUUUACAUUCUAAAUAUAUAUGCCUACCUUAACUGCCUUUUGUUGACUUGGUUAUUCAGAAACAUAUAUAUUUGUGCUAGACUGAAAUGCAAGUUAAUCUCAAAAGAGAUUUUUAAAUAAAUCAAGCAUCCAUUCUAUUCAUGGACUACAAGCAAAAGUGCAUUUUUACUUAUUAUGUAUCUUGAAUAGCAAAAAAAAAAAAAUAGACAUAUACAUUCAGUAAGAGCAUCCAUAUGCAUAUUGUUAAAAUGAAAAGCAAUAACUGAGGACGUUCAUCUUUAUUAUCAUGAUGUGUUGGUAACAUGAAUCUGAGACCUAAUCAAGAAUUAUCUAACAAGCAGAAUUAAGCUUACGGGAGAACAUACCCCUAAUGUCCUAGUAACUCCAAUAUAGAAACCAUUUUCCAGUUGUUAAUAAACCGGUAUGAGGGUCAGGUUGGCGUCUCUAUGCGAUAUCGUCCCGCGUCAUGAUAUCACUGAUUGGGUCACCAUUGAAGAUGGAGGACAGACUAGGCCCACAAGGAGCAAACUCAAGCCCAAGUGGCUAUCUGAUUAUGUAGAAUUUAAAUAAAUAUUAAUUGUCCUACUUUUAAAUAUCUUGGGCCCCUUGUAAGCCCAUUCUGGGCAGAACCCUAAAGGAAUCCUCUUUUAGUAUUUAUUGU
rnacentral:lncRNA from 1 species